AGCGCCCCGGCGCGCCCCCGCCGGCCCCAAGACCCGCUCGGCAGAGAAAAAACCGCCAGGAGGAAAAGUAGGUAUCUUCAGAGCAUGCCACUUUUCCGUGUGCUUUUCACCUACGCAGUAAUAAUAGCAACAGCACUUAUUAUUGCUAUUAUUAUUAUUAUUAUUAUUAUAAACAGUAUAAUAAUUUUUUCUAGUUUUUGUAGCGGUCUUGAUGAGUAUUCUGUGCUUUUAAAUUUUUUCUUUUUUUUUUUAACCCUUUGCUUUGAGCUUCAGGUUUACAGCAGCUCCUCAUGUGUAGCUGAGACAAUGCCAAGGAGUAACUACCCCCAUCCGUCCGUAUCUGCAGCAGAGCAAAUGUGGUAUAAAUGGGACAGAAGCCGACGGGAGAAGGUGUGCGAUAGAUCCUGA
rnacentral:lncRNA from 1 species